rnacentral:rRNA from 1 species
AAAGAGAGGCAAGACCGCGAGGUGGAGCAAAUCUCAAAAAGACCGUCCCAGUUCGGAUCGCAGGCUGCAACCCGCCUGCGUGAAGUUGGAAUCGCUAGUAAUCGCGGAUCAGCAUGCCGCGGUGAAUACGUUCCCGGGCCUUGUACACACCGCCCGUCACACCAUGAGAGUCGGGAACACCCGAAGUCCGUAGCCUAACCGCAAGGGGGGCGCGGCCGAAGGUGGGUUCGAUAAUUGGGGUGAAGUCGUAACAAGGUAUC